GGUUUGAUCAUGGCUCAGAUUGAACGCUGGCGGGAUGCUUUACACAUGCAAGUCGAACGGCAGCACGGACUUCGGUCUGGUGGCGAGUGGCGAACGGGUGAGUAAUGUAUCGGAACGUGCCUAGUAGCGGGGGAUAACCAGCGCGAAAGCGUAGCCAAUACCGCGCCACACUCUUCGGGGAAAGCGGGGACCUUCUGGGCCUCGCAAUUAUUAGGAGCGGCCGAUAUCGGAUUAGCUAGUUGGUGGGGUAACGGCUCACCAAGGGCGACGAUCCGUAGCUGGUUUGAGAGGACGACCAGCCACACUGGGACUGAGACACGGCCCAGACUCGCCGUGGAGGCAGCAGUGGGGAAUUUUGGACAAUGGGGAAACCCCGAUCCAGCCAUCCCGCGUGUGCGAUGAAGGCCUCUUGCCAGAAAGUACUUUUGGCAGGAAAGAAACGGCACGGGAUAAUACCCCGCGCAACUGACGGUACCUGCAGAAUAAGCACCGGCUAACCACGUGCCAGCAGCCGCGGUAAUACGUAGGGUGCAAGCGUUAAUCGGAAUUACUGGGCGUAAAGCGUGCGCAGGCGGUUCGAAAGAAAAAGAUGCGGAAACCCAGAGCUUAACUUUGGAACUGCAUUUUUAACUACCGAGCUAGAGUGUGUCGAGGGAGGUGGAAUUCCGCGUGUAGCAGUGAAAUGCGUAGAUAUGCGGAGGAACACCGAUGGCGAAGGCAGCCUCCUGGGAUAACACUGACGCUCGCGCACGGUGCUGCGGGGAGCAAACAGGAUUAGAUACCCCGGUAGUCCACGCCCUAAACGAUGUCAACUAGCUGUUGGGGCCUCGGCCUGCAGCAGCCAAUUGGCAGGAAGUUGGACUGCCUGGGAGUACGGUCGCAAGAUUAAAACUCAAAGGAAUUGACGACCCGCACAAGCGGUGGAUGAUGUGGGGAUUAAUUCGAUGCAACGCGAAAAACCUUACUCACCCUUGACAUGUCUGGAAUCCCGAAGAGAUUUGGGAGUGCUUCGCAAGAGAACCGGAACACAGGGGUGCUGCAUGGCUGUCGUCAGCUCGUGUCGUGAGAUGUUGGGUUAAGUCCCGCAACGAGCGCAACUUGUCAUUAGUUGCCACGAAAGGCACUCUAAUGAGACUGCCGGUGACAAACCGAGGAAGGGUGAUGACGUCAAGUCCCUCAUGGCCCCCAUAUGGGUAGGGCUUCACACGUCACAAUGGUCGGGACAGAGGGUCGCCACAACCCGCGAGGGGGAGCCAAUCCCAGAAACCUGAUCGUAGUCCGGAUCGCAGUCUGCAACUCGACUGCGUGAAGUCGGAAUCGCUAGUAAUCGCGGAUCAGCAUGUCGCGGUGAAUACGUUCCCGGGUCUUGUACACACCGCCCGUCACACCAUGGGAGUGGGUUUCACUAGAAGUAGUUAGCCUAACCGUAAGGAGGGCGAUUACACACGGUAGGAUCUAUGAUCGGGGUGAAGUCGUAAAUAAGGUAG
rnacentral:rRNA from 1 species